rnacentral:rRNA from 1 species
UACGGGGGGUGCGAGCGUUGUCCGGAAUCACUGGGCGUAAAGGGCGCGUAGGCGGUCGUGACAAGUCACUUGUGAAAUCUCCGGGCUUAACUCGGAACGGUCAAGUGAUACUGUCGGACUAGAGUACAGAAGGGGCAACUGGAAUUCUCGGUGUAGCGGUGAAAUGCGUAGAUAUCGAGAGGAACACCUGCGGCGAAGGCGGGUUGCUGGGCUGAUACUGACGCUGAGGCGCGAAAGCCAGGGGAGCGAACGGG